rnacentral:rRNA from 1 species
UACGUAGGGGGCGAGCGUUGUCCGGAUUUAUUGGGCGUAAAGCGCACGUAGGCGGCUUUGCAAGUCCCAUGUGAAAUCCCACGGCUUAACCGUGGAAGUGCAUGGGAAACUGCAGAGCUUGAGUACUUAAGAGGAUCGCGGAAUUCCCGGUGUAGAGGUGAAAUUCGUAGAUAUCGGGAGGAACACCAGUGGCGAAGGCGGCGAUCUGGGAAGAUACUGACGCUGAGGUGCGAAAGCGUGGGGAGCAAACAGG